rnacentral:misc_RNA from 1 species
CUUUGUUCGAUGUGACUUUUAUUUUGAGAUUGUUUUAUCAUUUUAUGCAUGAUUUAAAAGCACGGCUUGUAAAAAAAAUUUUAUCAACGCAUUCAUUAAUUAAUAUAUCUUGUAUAUGGUAACAAUCAGUGGUUGUCAUUUUGAAAAAAACAAUAUAAAAAGAAAUGACUCGGCUUUGGCUUUGGAGUUCGCUUUCCAAAAGUCAUCUUGAAACAGUUUUGUGCCGUCGACCUGAAACAUACGGUUUCAAAUACAUUUCUAGUUUGAGUAGCGUCAUUUUUAAUUCCCACACAGUGUAUUCUCAAGAAAAAAACAAAUACAGAUUAUUACAUAACAAACACAAAAAUGUCGAUAGUUGUGUAGCAAUCUCGAGAAUGUCGAGUUUUCUGACAAACUUGGGCUCAAGAAUGUUUGAUAUACACAGCUAUGGCAAGCUCUGUCGUUCAAUGAUACCAUCCAAUAGUACACAGGGUGGAAGUGCUGGUCACCAUCAUAUGUUGCUGUUGACGUGCACCAAUCAAGUUAACCAAAGGAGAGAGUACAAAAACAAGAAACCCAGUAGUGAGGAAUCUAGUUCAAGUGAUGAAGAAUCUGAAGGAAGUGAUGCCGAGGAUGAAGUGUCUGAUUUCCCGCCUGGUUACAAGGACAGAAAGGCAUUUGUCAAGUCACUCCGAGCCGAUGCUAUUGUAAGCACUGGACUUGGCCUGUCUCGCAACACUGUGGAUGAUAUUUUUUUCAAGAGCUGUCUGAAGCUAAAUGGUGCAAAGUUACUGAAGAAAAGCAAAGUGAUUGAAGAGAGUGAUUACGUGGACGUGAUUGUUGAACGAAAUGAAGACAAACUGAGAAUUAAGAGAGUCAAGCUUCUGAAGGUGUUACCAGAGCGCACACAAAAGGAGAGAAUUGCUGUGAAACUCCGAGUGUGGAAAGCUACAUUUGAAGUUGUUGAUGAGGACAAGAAACAGUGGUGACGCGUCAUAAACACUAUCUGACAGAAAACAAGACGAAACGGUGCUAUUGGGGCAUUUUUGGUUUUCUCAUAUUUAAAAAUGUCUUGGAAGGUUUUGAUUUGUUUAGGACCUAUGGAUUUGUAGGAAAUAUUUUGAGAAGUUUUAGAUAAAAAAAAUCUUAAAAUGUAAUUUUUCGAUCCAUGCUCAUCAAACAGCGGCCCGAUUCAGUGAUGGGUCAUGUGGACAUAGGACGAUCAAUUCAGUGUUCUGUUAGUCGUUGCAUCAACCUGGUUUCAGUGAAGUUGGACAACACUGUAUAAUGUGUGCAGAUAAUGGUGGAUGAUUUUGUAUUAAAUAGAUGUGUAACCAAUUCUGGUGUUCGUGUGUUAAAAAUAAACAAUAUUGUGCAUUUAUAUAUACAGUUUACUAAUCACAGAGCAUUUCUUUGAAUUGUUUGCAGUCUGUCCAGUGAUCCUACGUUUCCUACUUUUUCUCCAAAAUACCUAGUUUUUCCUACUUUUUUAUUUUAUAUUGCUACAUGCAAUUUUAAAAUGCUGCAAAUGUCUGUAAAAGUGUGCAUAUUGCUUGUGUGUGAAAAGUAAGGGCUAAUAACAAUGAUUUAAUCCAGUAUAAUCUGUCAAUUGCUCUAUAAUACAUUAUAAAAACGUGCUGUUUCA